AACGAACGCUGGCGGCAGGCUUAACACAUGCAAGUCGAGCGCCGUAGCAAUACGGAGCGGCAGACGGGUGAGUAACGCGUGGGAAUCUACCCAUCACUACGGAACAACUCCGGGAAACUGGAGCUAAUACCGUAUACGUCCUUCGGGAGAAAGAUUUAUCGGUGAUGGAUGAGCCCGCGUUGGAUUAGCUAGUUGGUGGGGUAAUGGCCCACCAAGGCGACGAUCCAUAGCUGGUCUGAGAGGAUGAUCAGCCACACUGGGACUGAGACACGGCCCAGACUCCUACGGGAGGCAGCAGUGGGGAAUAUUGGACAAUGGGCGCAAGCCUGAUCCAGCCAUGCCGCGUGAGUGAUGAAGGCCCUAGGGUUGUAAAGCUCUUUCACCGGUGAAGAUAAUGACGGUAACCGGAGAAGAAGCCCCGGCUAACUUCGUGCCAGCCGCCGCGGUAA
rnacentral:rRNA from 1 species